rnacentral:rRNA from 1 species
GACGAACGCUGGCGGCGUGCUUAACACAUGCAAGUCGAACGGAAAGGCCUGCUUUCCCUUGUGGAUUGCGGGUACUCGAGUGGCGAACGGGUGAGUAACACGUGAGUGAUCUGCCCCCAACUUGGGUAUAAGCCUGGGAAACUGGGUCUAAUUCCCGAUAGGACUGCAGGGUGGUGCCUGUGGUUGAAAACGAUUUUCUAGUGGUUGGGGAUGAGCUCGCGGCCUAUCAGCUUGUUGGUGGGGUAAUGGCCUACCAAGGCGGCGACGGGUAGCCGGCCUGAGAGGGUGGACGGCGACAUUGGGACUGAGAUACGGCCCAGACUCCGACGGGAGGCAGCAGUGGGGAAUAUAGCAAAAUGGGCGGAAGCCUGAAGCAGCGACGCCGCGUGGGGGAUGACGGCCUUCGGGUUGUAAACUCCUUUCGACCGCGAGGAAGCCACCUGGUUGGAAGGGUGGUGACGGUAGUGGUAGAAGAAGCACCGGCUAACUACGUG